ACCUUGGGAAGGUGCUUGUUGUUAUGGUCUGGGAUGCUGCCAGGUGGCUCUUGGUCAAGGAGGAAGAGCAGGAAGACUGGUUCCUGGCUUGGUACUUCAAGAUGCAGUGGGGGAGUGGUUUUCCCAUUGUUUCUUCUAACCGCUACUCUAUUUUUGUUCAAAACGCUCCUUUGCCUUGAGGAAGCUGUGUCACCAGAUGUCCCUGAUGCUGCUCCCUGAUGAACCAGAGCUGUGGGCAAUGGAGAUGAAUCCAGGUCUGCUGGGAUAACUGUGGUAGAUAAGAGAAUUGGAGCUUCGAGCUCAGCCUGGCAUAGCAGCCUGUUUGAUGCCCGUUGGGAAAUGACAAUGACUGGAUUCAGCACCCAGCAGGUACUGGGGCUCCCUGUGCUCCCCAUCCCCAGCCAGUGUGAUGCUCUGUGCACCCCAUGUCACCGCUCUGCCUUCACUGCAGGUGCAGCUCUGACUCAUUUGCACUCACUGAGCACCUGUGGGUGUGCACCCAAGGAUUGCUGCUGCAUGGUGUGAAGCCUGAGGGCUGCUUCCCUUGCAGAGGUGCUUCUUGCUCUCCUGCCUCACUCUCUGCUAGGAGUGGAAGUGGGAAGGAUUUAAGGUAUCUCAAAGAGGAACAGGAUGACCUGAGCUCCAAGCAGAGAUUGUAUGAGAUUUAUUUCUAAAGGAUAACUUGAAACAUUUAGUAAUACUUUGUUUUAUCUUCCACCUCGACACAAAUUGUCAUUGUGCAGUAAUGGGGAGAAGCAAUAAAGGCUCUCUGCAUUUCCUGCUCUGCACAAUGACCUGCAGCACCUUUCCUUGUGAAGAUUUCUAAUGCAAAGCUUUGUGGAGGACAGAGCCUGGCUUGGGUGUGAAGUGCAAACCCAGACAAUGUGAGAUGCAGAGCUGAGGCAGCAGAAGGGGUGCAAGGUGCUGGGGUCCCAUGGUGCCCAUCCGUUGUGUGCGGGUGACAGCAUGGGCUGGGUGUGUGGAGGAAGGGGGUAUGGAUGUGGGUAGAGCAGCAGUGUUGGCAGCUGGAGAAGCUUCCCAGCAGGGCACAGGGUUUUGCAGUGCUCGCAGCUAUUUCCCAGUGCCCUUCUGUGCUCUCACCACCUGGCUCUGGCACACGGCAGCUGCGGUGCAGCCCCUUUACAGCUGUUUGCAUAAGACCUGCUCAUCACUCUGUGAUCCUCUCCCUGCCCUUGCCACAGCAAAAUAGCUCUCUGGGUGGUGAUGUGUGCCCAUCUUCUCAGCUGUGUGGCUUUGAGCAGAGCUGCCAAUGCUUUUUAGGCAAGAAAAACUGCUUCGAGGAAGCCUGGCUCUGCUGCUGUGUGUGUGAUGGGCUCUGGUGACAGAGAGCUGUUCCCAGGGUGAGCAGCUGAUGUAAAGCGGUUGCGUACAGAGAUCAGAUGCAAGAUUGAGCAUAAAGAUCUAUGAAGAGGCAAAAAAACAAACAAACAAACAAAAAAACCCAAACACCUGAAAAAGCCCAUAGGAUGCCCAGUUCCUGUAGAUGGAGGAUGGUAAUAUCAGGCGUGGUGUGGGCAGUGGGUGAGAACAGGGUGUUGGGAUAAGGAGGAGCUCAAUGGACAUGUGGGUGUGGGCGGUGCCUGGCCAGGCAUGGACUGAACCCAUCCACCUCUUCAGCCUUAGUUAGAACAAGCAGUGUGCUUCUGCUCUGUAUAAGCAAUUAGCAUCACAUGGCCAUGGUGAUUUUCAUCUGGCACCUGCAUCCCAAAGCCAAUUUAGCAUGAAAAUGCUCAGUGUGUAAACACAAGGAGAAUAGCCUCUUAGCUCCUGGGCCCUCUGUCCUUGGUGUGACAUUCAGUAUUUACAAAGAUUGGGGCUUUUUGUUUUGUUUUCCGCUGCAACAGGGAACCACACAGAUUUCUCUGAAUUCAAAAGAUGAUGACUUUUUUGAUGCCCAAAAUGACCGCUUCUGCUUGACUAAUACUGGACAAAUAUUGACUCAUGGCUACUACAAGUUGGUUCCUUCACUGAUGAAUGCUCAAGGCUACUUGGAUAAACAAAUGAUUUCUCAUGAAUAUUCUUAUUUUAGCACAUCCCUAGAAUAAUAAUGCAUCCUGUGUAUAUUCUCAUUGUGCUUUUUCUUCUCUUGACAGUUUGAGGUGACAUUGUGAGAAACUUUAUUAGCGCAAAGAACAAGUGUCCCAUUGUCGAUGGUUGGAUAUUAGGAAAGGUUUUUUUCUUAGAAAGAAUGGUGAUGCAAUGGCACAGGCUGCCCAGGGAGGUGAUGGGGUCACCAUCCCUGCAGGUGUUCCAGAAACGUGGAGAUGAGGCACUGUGGGAUGGUGGGGAUGGUUUGGUGCUUGGACUGAAUGAUCUUAGUGGUCUCUUCCAAACUUAAUUCCUCUAUCAUUCUCCAGCACCAGGGUUCAGCUGCACAGUCCUUGGUCUCUGCUUGACCAUGAGCAGUGGCAAAACCAGUAAUUAUGUAUGAGAGGGGGAGAUGCAGUGAGGACCUGCUGAACUGAUGGGGUUGAUGUUCCAGGAGCUCCACAAUACGGAGAGGUGACGGGGAGAAGAUGAGAAAGCCAACACCAUAGUCCUGCUUUUCAAAUACUGAGCUGCAACCCUAAAAUCCAAACACUUGGGUUAAGGCAAACCUUACUAGUUCCACUGUGAAUCCUAGCAGUGAGGCUUUCUGCCGUUCGUUUCAUCUUCCUUCCAUUGAAACAGUGAUGCAUCUCAUGGUUGGUCAGCUUUGGAGCAAAUGGCUUUCCUUAAUGGGAAGUCACUAAGCAGCUGGGGACGUCUUCUGCUCCUCUGAUGACAGCAGGACCAUUACCUUCGUUUUGCUGCAAUCAGUUACUCCACUUCAAAGUGGCUGGAAACAUCAGCGUCCUGCGUUGGCAUUGCCUUGCAGACACUUUGCAUUGAUAUGGAUGGCCCCACAACUGUGAACUGAUGUGUAGGUGAGGCUGUUAAAAUAAUUUAGCGUAAGCUAGUAAGUAGAAUGAAGUGUUCUAGAAUAGCUCUUCCGGAAUAGCUCCCUGCAAUGAACGUUCAGGUCCAGAAUAAAGAGCCACUUAAUUCUGGAAUAAUUACUCUAAUUAUUUUCAAUGACUCCUUUCUCAAAUUUUGUGAAGUGUCUAAAAAUGGUGUGUGUCCCUGUCACCCCGAUGAGAUCACACUGCUUCACAAAAUUCAGAGUAGAUGAAGUUACAGACUCCCCCAGGCAGCCUGGUUAUUUUUUAAUCCAUUUACAGUGUUUUGAUUCCAUGGUGAUAAGGCCUUUAUAAAUGCUAAUUGAUAAAUGAGAUAGAGUUUAUAUUGUCUCAUACAGGGCAGAAAUAGUCAAAUGCAUACAAAACUGCUAUUAUUAAACAACAAGGCAAGACUUUCUGUUCUGAAGCUGAUGCAGUGAAUAAACUUGGGGAAAAUGGUUCUCUAGGUGUGCCACUGGUAGAUGCUCUGAGCAUCUCGCAUCUCCAGUUCACGUCCAUCUGGAAAGGGUGGAUGGCCCAAGAAACCAUUGAGAAACAGCUGGUGGGUGCCUGGCAGCCAGUUACUAUGGUCAGCAUCAUGUGAUUUUAAUCAUUCCUUAAUUUUUCUUAAUUUUGUCAUAUUCUGUUUUUAACUGCCAUCCUCUGCCAGCCCAGCAGCCUUCCGGGCACCAGGCUGAGCUCACUGCACAUCCAGACUGUCCUCGUAGCAUUGGCUUCUACCACCUAACGGUGCUUCAUUUACAAACAGGAUGCUGGGAGUUUUCAGCUGCUUUCACUUUCUACUUAUUUAUAUAUUUCUUUUUCCCAAGCAAAUUGCCUGCUUUAACUCCUGCCACAUUAGCAGCCUGCCUGUGAGAGGUGUGCUGCUGCUGCUUAAGGAAACGGAUGGCUCAUUGUGCCAGCUCACUAGAAAUCAUGUUUAUAGCCAUAAAAAUGCACAAAAUUAAUACUA